rnacentral:misc_RNA from 1 species
AAGGAACAUAACCUCCUUCGAACUAUUAGUUAUGGCCCAAUACUUUAAAAGACCUCUAAUUACAGUAUCAGCAAGCUUGAAAUCUUUUUCCACAAAUUGAGUGAUACAAUAUGAAAGUUGUUGAUGGUACAUCGAUACACACUUGGGCUUGUGAAGUGGAAUCAGGGCACGGACUAGAAAGAGCUUGUGCUCUUCCUUCAAUGGCAAAGCAAACCCGUUAAUUAUGCUGCCCAAUAUCUCAAGUAAUUCAGCGAUCCCAUUAUGCCUUUCUGUUUCAAAUAUGAAACGGUAAAAGCUUUCCUAAUAAAUGGCCGAUGUACCAUAAACUUCCCAUAAAUGCGAUGUAGUAUUGUCU